rnacentral:rRNA from 1 species
AUUGAACGCUGGCGGCAUGCUUUACACAUGCAAGUCGAACGGCAGCGGGGAGGAGCUUGCUUCUCUGCCGGCGAGUGGCGAACGGGUGAGUCAUACAUCGGAACGUGUCGAGAAGAGGGGGAUAACCACCCGAAAGGGUGGCUAAUACCGCAUAAAUUCUGAGGAAGAAAGCUGGGGACCUAGGAAUAGGCCUAGCGCUUUUUGAGCGGCCGAUGUCGGAUUAGCUAGUUGGUGAGGUAAAGGCUCACCAAGGCGAAGAUCUGUAGCGGGUCUGAGAGGAUGAUCCGCCACACUGGGACUGAGACACGGCCCAGACUCCUACGGGAGGCAGCAGUGGGGAAUUUUGGACAAUGGGGGCAACCCUGAUCCAGCCAUGCCGCGUGUAUGAAGAAGGCCUUAGGGUUGUAAAGUACUUUUGUUAGGGAAGAAAAGUCAGCUGUGAAUAAUGGCUGAUACUGACGGUACCUAAAGAAUAAGCACCGGCUAACUACGUG